rnacentral:miRNA from 1 species
UCUUAAUAAUUUCUUAACGAUUUG